UACGUAGGGUGCAAGCGUUGUCCGGAAUUAUUGGGCGUAAAGAGCUCGUAGGUGGCCUGUCGCGUCGGCUGUGAAAACUCGGGGCUCAACUCCGAGCUUGCAGUCGAUACGGGCAGGCUAGAGUUCGGCAGGGGAGACUGGAGUUCCUGGUGUAGCGGUGAAAUGCGCAGAUAUCAGGAGGAACACCGGUGGCGAAGGCGGGUCUCUGGGCCGAUACUGACACUGAGGAGCGAAAGCGUGGGGAGCGAACAGG
rnacentral:rRNA from 1 species